ACAACACAGGGGGUGCAAGUGCUGUGCCGUGCCAGGGCCUGCCCCAGCAGUCCUGGCCCUGCCCUGUUCCGUGAGUCCUGGGUUCAGCUUCCCACAGGAGCUGGAAAUGGCACAGGGGGAAGGCAGGGACACCCUGCACCUGCCCCAUUCCAGGACAGAGGGAGCUCAUCAGGUUUCCCUUUUCCCAUCAGAGAGUCAUCACAGGAGGACAUUAAUGCUUUCGCCGAGUUCAGAGAGAGACACAGGCACUGUGAUUCCAGUGAGUGCCUUUGUCCAGGAGGCAGGCAGGAGGCAGAGGAGGAGGGGCCCUGGGAACUGCUCCUGUGCUCCUCCUGUGCUGCUGAGGGCACCCACAGACACUGCUCUGGCCUGAGGGACAGCAUAACCAGCUGGGAAUGUGAUGGCUGUGCUGGUCUGGGCACAGCCUCCCGAGAUGACUCAGGGCUUGCUGGCACUGGAGAUCAUCAGCCGC